AGUCGAUGUGAUUUUUGUUAUUGUGGGGAUAUGUAUUAAUUAAUAUGUUAUUAAGUUGACGAAACAUCUGAUGGCGGAGCUGCGUUCUCAUUUCUUAGUUGUACCCUUCAGACUCAAAGUACCUACAGAUGAAUGACGAUUUUCAUCAAUGGGACUUCCAAGUGUUUCGACCACAACUUGGAGUAGAAGAUUGCAAUGGACUCUGUAAUAUCCGAUCAUUGAGUUUCUAGAAAGAAUCUAGACGCUGAUCUUUAAUAUUAGCAGUGUAUCUUGCCAAUUCAAGAUCCUGGAAUCCUACUCAUCAACUAGAUGGUAAAACUUUCAAUACUGAAGUACUUCCAUAUUCUUGGCUGAACUUGGAGACAAACUUGACAUUUCAACUUAUUCCAUGCGAUUCGGCUUAAAUACUGAAUUUGUACUUUUUAAGUUAAUUUGUUAUAGGAAAUGUUUUCCUUUAAAGAAUACUGUUCAACUUUAAAUUAGAUUUAAGUAAUACUGAAUGGUUUUCAACCAUUAAGCAGGGAAACUUCAAUGCAUCUAGUAAAAGCUUUAUCAAAUUUAUUAAACUUAAUUAAAAUUUCUAUGCAUAUAGUUCUAUUUCGAAUGAAACGGACAAAUCUACCUAAAGUUAUACCUUUCAAACGUUGUUGUUUCUUAUGGCACUUGCCACGGACAAGCCCGCUGGUCAAACACAGCCGCUAGUGGCUAGUGAUAAAACGAUACAGAAACUGCGUGAACGAUCCUGUUCAAAAUUUGUAUUAGAAGCUAUCGAUCUUUUGAGGUCUAGACAUCCUUCGAAUAAUGCUUUACUUGCUUCGUCAUAAUGCCAAAUUCCGAUUAUAUAUCUUAUUAAAAACUUUGUUUAAAGUAGUUAAAGUAUUUCUAUAUUAGCCUCACUCGACUAGUGCUCCGAACUGAAAUGCUUAAAGCAAUAACUUGCAAUAGGCAUCCCUGGUAAUGAUGGCCGUUUUCCAGAAAAAUAUUUUGAUAAUUAGGGAUUCUUAAAAUGAAGGCUCUUCAAAAUCCUUCAUAUUAAUUCCCUCUCAAGUUGUAAAAGCUGAAAUUUUAAUGUCGGUGAAUCAAAUGUCCUUUUCCCAUGCUUGGUUAGAAUGGCAAGUUUAAUCGACAUUUAAGUUUGCUAGGUAAUGAAUUUCCCUUCUAAGGUUUCAUUCUAAUUCUUAAUGAUCAUGGAAAUGCCUUUUUGAAUCCUUUGUUAAAAAUCUUCUGAAAUCAACUGGAAAAUUGAUAAUAAGCUUUCUAAAAACGUUGACAAAUCAUUGGAUCAGUAAGGAGCGAAAUUUUAAGUUCAUCCCCUUAUUUUUAUUUGUCAGUCUGAAACCUUGUAAUGAUAUUCCUACUUUUUUUAUUUAGAACAAAAGUACGCCGAUAAAAAGCGUAUGAAUUUCAAAUAUAAAGAAAAGCUAACUAUAAUAAUAUGUACAUUGAGUACAAGAUUUCAACCGGAACGAUAAGAAUUUAAAAAUAGCUUAAAAAUAUGCAGAUACCAAUAUUGAAAGUAGAAAUUGCGCCUCACUGGCUCAUUAUAGAUAGUGGAAUAAUUGAACGAGGUGAGGAGUUCGGAUAAAUAGGAAGGGAUGUUAACACGUUAAUGCUGGCUCCUGUUUACUUUCCGUCUAGACUGUUAGGGACCGGCGGUCUAAACGGAAAGUUACGGUCCCCAGGAUAACGGUACUUAAUGUGUUAUCACGUUAUAAUAGUUUAAACCAUCGUUAAGUGGGGUUAAAACUACCUUAAUUGAUUGGACGUCAGUAAAAUGGGGAGCAGCUGGAACCUAUGAAGUGCAAUUUUUAUAUUUCCGAUAUUGGUUAUGAAAGUUAGGAAUUAGUGUUCAGGGUAGGUUGAAAAUCUUAUACUAUAAAUUGUAGAGCUGUUUUUCAUAGAAACCUUUUCUUAAAUCUUGGAUUCGAAACGGUGAAUCCCAACUUUAAAUUUAAACGUAAUGCAGUGAAGUUUAAAAGCGACGUCUUUAAAAUUGUUUAUCAAAAGCAAACUCUAAAUUUCUAACUUUCAAUUACCUUCCGCUU